GUGCUCACUUCAGCAGCACAGAGAUUGAAAUUGACAAUACAGAGAAGAUUAGCAUGGCCCCUGAGCAAGGAUGACAUGCAAAUUUGUGAAGCACUCCAUAUUUUU